UUUCUGCCUCUUGAUAAUUAUUUGUUCAAUAUCUGGCCUCCCUAUUGGUAGCAUGAAGGCAAGAUUCUGCUUGUCUUUUUAACUACGUGUCUUUGUAUCUAUCACAGUGUUUGCCAUAUAGCAGUCCGUCAAUUGCUCUUUAUUGAGUGAGAAGAUACAGAGAUUCACUCACGAGACUCAGGGGUUGAAGAAUCUCUGAAGUACAGAAAAGAGAAAAGGUUUGCAAACAAUUCAAUGUCUUCUAACUUCAAACUCAUUCUACCCCCUGCCCCAGCUAGGUACUGUGC
rnacentral:lncRNA from 13 species